GAUGAACGCUGGCGGCGUGCCUAAUACAUGCAAGUCGAGCGAAAGGACGAGACGCUUGUUUCUCUGAUGUUAGCGGAGGACGGGUGAGUAACACGUGGAUACCCUACCUAUAAGACUGGGAUAACUUCGGGAAACCGGCGCUAAUACCGGAUGAUAUUUUGAACCGCAUGGUUCAAAAGUGAAAGACGGUCUUGCUGUCACUUAUAGAUGGAUCCGCGCUGCAUUAGCUAGUUGGUAAGGUCACGGCUUACCACGGCAACGAUGCAUAGCCGACCUGUGAGGGUGAUCGGCCACACGAGAACUGAGACACGGUCCAGAGGACUAAGAGAGGCAGCAGAAGGGAAUCUGCCGCAGUGGGCGAAAGCCUGACAGAGCAGCGCCGCGUGUGAGAUGAAAGUCUUCGGAUCGUAAAACCCUGUUAUGAGGUAAGAACAUAUGUGGAAGUAACUGUGCACAGCGUGACGGUACCUAAUCAGAAAGCCACGGCUAACUACGUG
rnacentral:rRNA from 1 species